UCCUUAAAUCAAAUUUUUAUUAAUUCGAUUGCUGAAACUAAUUAAGUAAAGUUAAGCUUUACUCUCAUUUUUUACAAAAAUCAAAUACAGGAAAAACACAAAAAAGAAACCCUUUCUCUCUAGUCUUUCUGUCUCUCGUGAACUCUAGAAACCAGGAAGGAACCAUGGUUUUUCUUUAGCAAUUCAGAGAUUAUUUAGCAUCUUUUGUGAGGUUUCAAGCUUGGGAGCCUAUAAUUCGUCGAGCAAUUGUUCUACUCAGGUUGGUCGGCACACCUGAAUUUGGAAACGAGGUAAGGGCAAUGCUAAAGUUGAGCACCCGUGAGAGCGAGCAGAUGACGAUUGUCAAUAUCGGGGCAGUUAGGCCUGGAGCGUACGAUCGUAAGGGACAUCAAGGCUUUUGCUGACAGUCGCUAGGCAACAAAACUUACGUAUAUGUGUAUAGCAAACUUUUAUAAAUGUCUUUUGUAAACGGUAUCCCGGGAUUUUAUAUAUGUAAUACUUUAAUUUUCUAAUUAAAUAAUCAAAUUUUAAUUAUUCA